rnacentral:rRNA from 1 species
GUGAGUAGUUCAGAGUUUGAUCCUGGCUCAGGAUGAACGCUGGCGGCGUGCUUAACACAUGCAAGUCGAACGGACUUAAGACGAAACCUAGUGAUUUUUUAAGUUAGUGGCGGACGGGUGAGUAACGCGUGGGUAACCUGCCUUGUACAGGGGGAUAACACUUAGAAAUAGGUGCUAAUACCGCAUAAGCGCACGGUGUCGCAUGACACAGUGUGAAAAACUCCGGUGGUACAAGAUGGACCCGCGUCUGAUUAGCUAGUUGGUGAGGUAACAGCCCACCAAGGCGACGAUCAGUAGCCGGCCUGAGAGGGUGAACGGCCACAUUGGGACUGAGACACGGCCCAA